rnacentral:lncRNA from 10 species
UUUUCUUCUCUUUUUAUUUGUCCCUCCUGUGAUUUUUUUUUCCUUCUGCUCGUUAGCUGUGGGUUAAGUUUUUUCUUCUUUUUCUUAUUCCUUAAGACAUAAACUUUCGAGAUGGAUUCUCACUCUGUUGCCCAGGCUGGAGUGCAGUGGCGCUAUCUCGGCUCACUGCAACCUCUGCCUCCUGGGUUCAAGCGAUUCUCCUGCCUCAGCCUCCUGAGUAACUGGGAUUAUAGGUGCCGGCCACCACAC